rnacentral:rRNA from 1 species
AUUGAACGCUGGCGUCAGGCCUAACACAUGCAAGUCGACCGAGUGGCGGACGGGUGAGUAAUGUCUGGGAAACUGCCUGAUGGAGGGGGAUAACUACUGGACACGGUAGCUAAUACCGCAUACCAUCAGAUGUGCCCAGAUGUGAUUAGCUUGUUGGUGGGGUAAAGUCUCACCACGUCGACGAUCCCUAGCUGGUCUGAGAGGAUGACCAGACAAACGGAAACGAAGACACGGUCCAGACUCCUACGGGAGGCAGCAGUGGGGAAUAUUGCACAAUGGGCGCAAGCCUGAUGCAGCCAUGCCGCGGGUAUGAAGAAGUCCUUAGGGUUGUAAAGUACUUUCAGCGGGGAGGCGUUACCCGCAGAAGAAGCACCGGCUAACUCCGUGCCAGCAGCCGCGGUAAUUC